AGGAUCCACUGUUGGUGUCCCUGUGGCCCAGCUGGAAGAGAUGGAGUCUCCCUGUGUUGCCCAGUCUGGUCUUGAGAGCUUCAGUUUUAAAUAAUAAAUUGUUCUCGUCUUUCUAAAUUUCAAUCAAAACACAGGAUGUAUUUUAAAAGGGAAAAACUGUGAGGUAAAAGAAUAGGGUGAGGGGAGGAAAGAAAUAACUUCAUAGAGAAAAAUUCAAUGAACCCUUGGAAGAAAAUAUAUGGAAGUAUGGUUACUGACUUGGGAAAGAAGAGAAAGGUACAAUGUAACUGCACAUAGAAGCCAGUCCUGAAAAGAAGCAAGCCGGCUGAAGUUAUCUGCAACUCAGAAGCACUUGGUACCACCCAAGGGGAGAUAAGAGGAGAUCUCAUCAGAGGUGCCUGAAAAGCACCUCAGCCGAAGGCCUCACAUAGAGAGACCUAAGAAUGAAGGCACCUGGACUAGGAAUGUGAAUAUGUGAAAGAACAUGACCGGCCAGGGGCCCUGAGUUAUUGAAUGCAACCCCCUUCAGACACUGCAACACACAGGCUGUGCACCAAGCCUAGUAUGGGAAGGACAGCUUUUCUUCAUGAGGCCUGCCAGGUAAAGCCAGCUAUGAAACAGGAAGUUGACCUUCACCAGACACUGAACCUACUGGCACCUUGAUCUUGGACUUCCCAGCCUUACAAACUGUAAGAAAUAAAUG
rnacentral:lncRNA from 1 species